ensembl:lncRNA
GUUUUUUGAAUGUUAAUUCCUAUUUUUGAAGCGUCAAACAAACAGUAUAUAAGCACUGAUUUUACUGCUGUUUAGCACCUUCUCACUGGAAGGCUGAAGCUAUCGAGAUAUUAAAGAUCACCAUGAGGCUGCUGACCGUGUUUGUGUUUCUUUGUGUAAUGGUCCCUCUGAUCAUUACUGCUCAAAAAUCGGGCAGCAGUGGGGCAGAGAAUAAUCCACAAGAAGAGCAAGCUGUUGACAAGAGGAUCCUGUGGUAUUGGCGCAAAACUUAUCGUUGCGUUAGAUGGCGAUGGGUAUGGAGAAAGCGAUGGGGGAAAGACGUGAACGAAUAAUAUAUAUACGCUCACCACUGAUACCGAUUUUGUCUGGGUCUGAAAAAGAAGAUGAUUCCUGGUCUUUCAUGAAAAUGGUCCAUCAGACAGAGAAGCAAAUACUUUCAUCCAACUCCCUGAACUAUCAGUUUCCCCUUUUACAUCUUUACUUAUUUUCUUUUGCUGUAUUGCUGCAUAAAGAAUGAAGCAACAAGUGACACAAACUGGAGUCGACCGGACUGUCUCUUUUAAUAACAAAAACUAUUCAUUUCUGUUCUUAUUAUCUUCAUCAUUAAACUCUUAAGCAUUAAAUGAAAUUGGUCUCUGAGUCUGUCACAUGUCACCUUUUUAUUGGUCUAAACCCAAACACCAAAUUUGUUUUUCAUCUAUCUUCGUUUUAAAAUACCUAAAUAGAAAAUAACAAGUCUGACCUGCUAAUAUCUGACUGAGCUCAAAGCAUUUACUAAGAUCCUAAACAAUAACCUGAAUAAAGUAUUAAUAUUAAGUUGGUCUAAUGAUAAUUUCCAGAAUUGAUCUCAGCUACUGUUUGAUAUGCGAGUAAACAAAGCAGAUGAUAAAAGAAAAAGGACUCAUAAAAUACCUUUUCAAAAGGACACAUUUUAUUUUUGUCUUCAUUGAUACAAAUACAUUGUUGUCAUAUUUGACAACAAUAAGGAGAACAGUGGUUUUCCUCCCAACUUUUGACCAAUCAACUUAGUUUCCUGUUUAUCACACAUAAUAAAAAGCAUUUACUGCUGAGGCACAGCAGCCUUUGUCUCUGAGCCAGAGAGAAAGAGCUCCAUGGAGUUGUGUAAAAUAAUC